AUUGAACGCUGGCGGAAUGCUUUACACAUGCAAGUCGAACGGCAGCACGGACUUCGGUCUGGUGGCGAGUGGCGAACGGGUGAGUAACAUAUCGGAACGUAUCCAAUAAUGGGGGAUAACUAAUCGAAAGGUUGGCUAAUACCGCAUACGCCCUACAGGGGAAAGCAGGGGAUCUUCGGACCUUGCGUUAAUGGAGCGGCGGAUAUCUGAUUAGCUAGCUGGUGAGGUAAAGGCUCACCAAGGCGACGAUCAGUAGCUGGUCUGAGAGGACGACCAGCCACACUGGAACUGGGACACGGUCCAGCCUCCUACGGGAGGCAGCAGUGGGGAAUUUUGGACAAUGGGCGAAAGCCUGAUCCAGCCAUUCCGCGUGCAGGAUGAAGGCCCUCGGGUUGUAAACUGCUUUUGUACAGAACGAAAAGGUUUCUACUAAUACUAGGAGCUCAUGACGGUACUGUAAGAAUAAGCACCGGCUAACUACGUGCCAGCCGCCGCGGUAA
rnacentral:rRNA from 1 species